UCUAACAUGUGCGCGAGUCAUUGGGCUCUGCGAAACCUAAAGGCGAAAUGAAAGUGAAGGCCACGCACUUGUGCUGGUGCUUAGGGGUGAUGGUCGUUCCUACACGGGCGGCCCGCAACCCCGGGGCGUCUCGUUCUCUUUGAGAAGUGGCGCACCCAGAGCGUACACGUUGGGACCCGAAAGAUGGUGAACUAUGCCUGGCCAGGACGAAGUCAGGGGAAACCCUGAUGGAGGUCCGUAGCGAUUCUGACGUGCAAAUCGAUCGUCGGAGCUGGGUAUAGGGGCGAAAGACUAAUCGAACCAUC
rnacentral:rRNA from 3 species